AUGUGCCUGUUUAUUUCUGGCAGAGUCUGUGAACGGGUCUCCUGGAGGUCACCCCUCUUUGAGUGGGGUCACUUCCCCGUCCAGCCGUUUCCCGAGAACAGCGUGGGAGGCAGGGCCCCUGUCGGCUCUCCCUGGGCUGCACACCUGGCCUGGUCCUCUGUGCCUCCCCGCUGGGACCCCUCCUCUCUGUCUCAGCGGUUCCCGUCCAGCGUGAGGGGCGCCUGGCAGCGAAGCCCCCGCAGGCCCUGUUCCUCCAGGCGGCCGCUUGUGUCUCUUCAUCUUGGCCCAUUGCCUCUCCUCUCGAGGCCUGAGCUCCACCAGACACAGAAAAGCAGGAGGCGCUGGCCGGGCCACUGCCUGGAGCAGACUAGGAGGUGGAGAGGCACGUGGAGCAAAGGUUGGAGCCAUGUCCUUCCACCCCCAGACCCCCAGACCAGGGCCCUUCCAACGCCACCUAGUUCCCCUCGAGAGGCGGACCUGGUGCAGGCUCCCUGUAGAUUGUCCCUCCUUUCCUACCAAAUGUCCCCUUCCCUGACCCUGUCACUUUUCAGGAGGCCUGUGGUUGGGGGUCUGGGCGCCAGGCCUCUGUCACAAUGCCAUCCUUGUGACACCCACCCCUGCGUGUCUGGGCAGGGGCCUGACCCAGGGAUGCAGGAGGUGACCUGGCCCACCAAGGGGAGAGAUGUGACGACGCAGGGAGAACUGGGUGGCUCCUGGUGGCUGAAGCCACGCCCACCAGUCCCUCCAGACACGCGACUGUUUUAUGAGCAAAUUACCGAGAACACUUUGAUCUUCAGGGAAUCAACUGUGUCCCGUGAUGUCUUCAGUUUGAACAGACAGAUAAUCCGAAAGAGAUUACUGCCCCUCGGCUCACCGGCACAGGCGAUGGCAGCUCAUAUGAAGCGCAGCACGUCCCCAGACGCACUGCACCCCGACCACAGGCCCACGGGGAGCUGACGGCGGCACCUGUCUGCUUGGCAGGUGACGAUGCUUGGCCCACAGUGAACACUUCUGCCUGAGAAUAGGGAGGUGUAAAGUGAUUCAGCAUACUCCAGGCACGAGUGUCUCUCCUUUGUCCUUUCAAUGAUGAAGUGCUGGCAGCUUGGGAGUAAACAGCAGCACUGGGGAGAAACGGGCCUUUUCUUUUAUAAAAGAUAAACCCGAAUGCGACGGAUGCUGUUUGCCCGGGUCAGCGAGGCGUCCACGCUAAGCUGAUUAGCUCUGGGCAAAGAAGAAAGACAAACACUGGUUUGAAGGUCGCCCUCAUCUGACUGCUCACAAAUGUUCCAGCUCCAGACAAGCCCUCCGCCUCUGCUGCCUCCGCCUGCUCCCUCCACCCGCUGCCAGCAAGCGGGUCUCUCCCCAGAAUGAGGCCGGGGGCAUGGAUACAGGACACACAGCAGGACGCCCUGCCCCGCCAGCCCUGACCCGGGCAGCCCAGGGAGGGCCUGGGGAGCUGGGACUGGCAGGCUUGGCUGGACGUCACCCUGGGCACUGGGGCUGUGGUCACCAGCCCCUCUGCACACGGAGCUGGUGCAGAAGGCACCCGGCUGGCCUAGGGAGGGGCUGGGAAGGGGCUGGAAGAGAAGCCCUUGCAGUUUUUGGUUUCGCUCUUAAUUGCUGAGAGAUUUCUGAAAACCUGUAUCUCCUCAUAUACUUUUAGUCUAGAACUAAAUGUUUUGAAUUUAUGCUUUUACAAAGGAUUCCAUUUCUGGUCUAUUGUGAACACUGAAGUUUUAAAAUAAACCCUCGCAUUCUUCCUUUACA
rnacentral:lncRNA from 1 species